rnacentral:lncRNA from 1 species
AGGCACAGACACCAAGGACAGAGACGCUGGCUAGGUAAGAUAAGGAGGCAAGAUGUGUGAGCAGCAUCCAAAGAGGCCUGGGCUUCAGUUGUGGAGAGGGAGAGAGCCAGGUUGGAAUGGGCAGCAGGUAGGGAGAUCCCUGGGGAGGAGCUGAAGCCCAUUUGGCUUCAGUGUCCCCCAAACCCCCACCACCCUCUUCCUAGGCCGCCCUCCCCACUGUUACCAACAUGAAGCUGCUCGCAGCAACUGUGCUACUCCUCACCAUCUGCAGCCUUGAAGGUCUUACUUUGAAAAGUCAAAGGAGCAGCUGACACCCCUGAUCAAGAAGGCUGGAACGGAACUGGUUAACUUCUUGAGCUAUUUCGUGGAACUUGGAACACAGCCUGCCACCCAGUGAAGUGUCCAGACCAUUGUCUUCCAACCCCAGCUGGCCUCUAGAACACCCACUGGCCAGUCCUAGAGCUCCUGUCCCUACCCACUCUUUGCUACAAUAAAUGCUGAAUGAAUCC